UGAGCCAAGUUUAGGGUUUUCUCAAAACCCAAAGAUGUUUGAACUGAAGAGUUUGAUCAUGGCUCAGAUUGAACGCUGGCGGCAGGCCUAACACAUGCAAGUCGAGCGGCAGCACGGGUACUUGUACCUGGUGGCGAGCGGCGGACGGGUGAGUAAUGCCUAGGAAUCUGCC
rnacentral:rRNA from 1 species